UGGGGAAUAUUGGGCAAUGGGCGCAAGCCUGACCCAGCAACGCCGCGUGAGGGAAGAAGGUUUUCGGAUUGUAAACCUCUGUCGCAGAUGACGAAGGAAGUGACGGUAAUCUGUGAGGAAGCCCCGGCUAACUACGUGCCAGCAGCCGCGGUAAUACGUAGGGGGCGAGCGUUGUCCGGAAUUACUGGGCGUAAAGGGAGCGUAGGCGGCCGAUUAAGUUGGAUGUGAAAUCCCCGGGCUUAACUUGGGUGGUGCAUCCAAUACUGGUUGGCUAGAGUACAGGAGAGGAAAGCGGAAUUCCUGGUGUAGCGGUGAAAUGCAUAGAUAUCAGGAGGAACAUCGGUGGCGAAGGCGGCUUUCUGGACUGACACUGACGCUGAGGCUCGAAAGCGUGGGGAGCAAACAGG
rnacentral:rRNA from 1 species